UGCUUCAGCUGAAUGUCACAGACGACGCCAUUUGCAAUGAGCUGCUUCGAACCAUACCAAAUAAUAAAAUUCCCAAAGGUGAUUCUGAAGCGGUGACGAUUCUGACGAUUAUGAGAUCAAGUUUGUUUCCAACUGAAUGUGCCUCGCUGGAACCAAGCACUUACUUCUCAGAAUGCUAGAUGUAUUCCAAAUCAACUUUCAAGUUUUAAAUUUAACUUAAAUGUUAAUACUGGUUUCUUACUCCAUGAUUAUUUAUAUCCAUGUAUUAAAUACUGUAUGCCAUGAAUUGAUUA